AAAGGAUAGAAGCUGAAUCCCGAGUAGUACGGGGCACGAGAAAUCCCGUAUGAAUCAGCGAGGACCAUCUCGUAAGGCUAAAUACUACUGUGUGACCGAUAGAGAACAAGUACCGCGAGGGAAAGGUGAAAAGAACCCCGGGAGGGGAGUGAAAAAGAACAUGAAACCGUGAGCUUACAAGCAGUGGGAGUCCGAUUAAACGGAUGACCGCGUGCCUGUUGAAGAAUGAGCCGGCGACUUAUAGGUACUGGUAGGUUAAAGCGGGAAUGCUGGAGCCAAAGGGAAACCGAGUCUGAAAAGGGCG
rnacentral:rRNA from 1 species